rnacentral:rRNA from 1 species
GACGAACGCUGGCGGCGUGCCUAAUACAUGCAAGUCGAGCGCUGAAGGUUGGUACUUGUGCCGUCCGGGUGAGCAGCAAACGUGUGUGUAACGCGUGGGAAAUCUGCCUUUCAUCGGGGGACAACAUUUGGAAACGAAUGCUAAUACCGCAUAAGAACCUUAAACAUGAGUGUUAAGGUUGAAAUAUGCAAUUGCAUCAUUCAAAGAUGAUCCCGCGUUGUAUUAGCUAGUUGGUGAGGUAAAGGCGCAUCAAGGCGAUGAUACAUAGCCGACCUGAGAGGGGGAGCGGCCACAUUGGGACUGAGACACGGCCCAAACUCCUACGGGAGGCAGCAGUAGGGAAUCUUCGGCAAUGGACGAAAGUCUGACCGAGCAACGCCGCGUGAGUGAAGAAGGUUUUCGGAUCGUAAAACUCUGUUGGUAGAGAAGAACGUUGGUGAGAGUGGAAAGCUCAUCAAGUGACGGUAACGACCCAGAAAGGGACGGCUAACUACGU